rnacentral:rRNA from 1 species
ACGGAGGGGGUUAGCGUUGUUCGGAAUUACUGGGCGUAAAGCGCACGUAGGCGGAUUGGAAAGUUGGGGGUGAAAUCCCGGGGCUCAACCCCGGAACUGCCUCCAAAACUAUCAGUCUAGAGUUCGAGAGAGGUGAGUGGAAUUCCAAGUGUAGAGGUGAAAUUCGUAGAUAUUUGGAGGAACACCAGUGGCGAAGGCGGCUCACUGGCUCGAUACUGACGCUGAGGUGCGAAAGUGUGGGGAGCAAACAGG